GGGUGAGUAACACGUGGAUAACCUACCUAUAAGACUGGGAUAACUUCGGGAAACCGGAGCUAAUACCGGAUAAUAUAUUGAACCGCAUGGUUCAAUAGUGAAAGACGGUUUUGCUGUCACUUAUAGAUGGAUCCGCGCCGCAUUAGCUAGUUGGUAAUGUAACGGCUUACCAAGGCGACGAUGCGUAGCCGACCUGGGAGGGUGAUCGGCCACACUGGAACUGAGACACGGUCCAG
rnacentral:rRNA from 1 species